rnacentral:rRNA from 1 species
GACGAACGCUGGCGGCGUGCUUAACACAUGCAAGUCGAACGAUGAUCCGAGAGCUUGCUCUUGGGGAUUAGUGGCGAACGGGUGAGUAACACGUGAGUAACCUGCCCUGGACUCUGGGAUAACCCCGAGAAAUCGGAGCUAAUACCGGAUAGGACCAGACGCGACAUCGCGUCGGGUGGAAAGAACUUCGGUGAGGGAUGGGCCCGCGGCCUAUCAGCUAGUUGGUGAGGUAAUGGCUCACCAAGGCGACGACGGGUAGCCGGCCUGAGAGGGCGACCGGCCACACUGGGACUGAGACACGGCCCAGACUCCUACGGGAGGCAGCAGUGGGGAAUAUUGCGCAAUGGCGAAAGCCUGACGCAGCGACGCAGCGUGAGGGACGAAGGCCUUCGGGUUGUAAACCUCUUUCAGCGGGGACGAAGCGAAAGUGACGGUACCCGCAGAAGAAGCACCGGCUAACUACGUGCCAGCAGCCGCAGAAAAAC